rnacentral:rRNA from 1 species
GAUAACCCGGGGAAACCCGGGCUAAUACCGCAUAAGCCUUAUUUUGUAAGUGAGAUAAGGGAAAGUCUUCGGGUGCCGAAGGAGGAGCCCGCGUCCGAUUAGCUAGUUGGUGAGGUAAGAGCUCACCAAGGCGACGAUCGGUAGCCGGUCUGAGAGGACGGACGGUCACACUGGGACUGAGACACGGCCCAGACUCCUACGGGAGGCAGCAGUGGGGAAUUUUGGGCAAUGGGCGAAAGCCUGACCCAGCAACGCCGCGUGGAGGAUGAAGGUUUUCGGAUCGUAAACUCCUGUCUAGAGGGACGAAGAAGAUGACGGUACCUCUGGAGGAAGCCCCGGCUAACUCCGUGCCAGCAGCCGCGGUAAUACGGGGGGGGCGAGCGUUGUUCGGAAUUACUGGGCGUAAAGGGCGCGUAGGCGGUUUCGGAAGUCAUGGGUGAAAGUCCUCGGCUCAACCGUGGGAUUGCCUGUGAAACCACGGGUCUGGAGUGCUGGAGAGGGAAGUGGAAUUCCCAGUGUAGCGGUGAAAUGCGUAGAUAUUGGGAGGAACACCUGUGGCGAAGGCGGCUUCCUGGACAGACACUGACGCUGAGGCGCGAAAGCCAGGGGAGCAAACGGGAUUAGAUACCCCGGUAGUCCUGGCUGUAAACGAUGAACACUUGGUGUGGGGGGUGAUGAAAGUCCCUCUGUGCCGGAGAGAACUCAUUAAGUGUUCCGCCUGGGGAGUACGGCCGCAAGGCUGAAACUCAAAGGAAUUGACGGGGGCCCGCACAAGCGGUGGAGCAUGUGGUUUAAUUCGACGCAACGCGAAGAACCUUACCGGGGUUUGAACUGCACCUGAGCGAUCUAGAGAUGGAGAGGUUCCCUUCGGGGACAGGUGCAGAGGUGCUGCAUGGCUGUCGUCAGCUCGUGUCGUGAGAUGUUGGGUUAAGUCCCGCAACGAGCGCAACCCUUGUCUGUAGUUGCCAUCAGGUAAAGCUGGGCACUCUACGGAGACUGUCGGCGAGAAGCCGGAGGAAGGUGGGGAUGACGUCAAGUCCUCAUGGCCUUUAUGUCCCGGGCUACACACGUGCUACAAUGGGCGGUACAGAGGGCAGCGACCCUGUGAAGGCAAGCGAAUCCCAGAAAACCGCUCUCAGUUCGGAUUGCAGUCUGCAACUCGACUGCAUGAAGUUGGAAUCGCUAGUAAUCGCGGAUCAGAACGCCGCGGUGAAUACGCUCCCGGGCCUUGUACACACCGCCCGUCACAUCACGAAAGUGGGCUGUACUAGAAGCCGCCGGCCUAACCUUAGGGAAGGAGGCGUCGACGGUAUGGCUCAUGAUUGGGGUGAAGUCGGAACAAGGUA